rnacentral:tRNA from 2 species
GGAGGGGUGGCCGAGUGGUUGAAGGCGGCAGUCUUGAAAACUGCAGUACCCUUAACAGGUACCGUAGGUUCGAAUCCUACCCCCUCCG